CUGGAACUCAUAAGAGAUCAUUUACUGUGGAGCACACUGGUGAGCUGACAAGUGAACAGGCCGGUGCAGCAUCACAAAGACCCUACUACAACAACAGGGAAACCAAAAAGAUGUCAGCUGUGUCCUACAAGAAAGGACUGGAAAACAAGACAUACAUGCUAUUCGUGUAACUGAUACUUCAACUUCCUGCCACCAGAUGUGGAUACCUGUGCUGACACUCUCACCCCCUCCAGCCAGUCACUGUGAAGGAAGAAUCUCACCUGCGUAAGACCACAGAAGGGUUCUGGACUUCACCUCAGCCAUGGCAACAAAAGGCCUUAUGCUCUCUGUGGGAGCAUCCUGCCUUUGUCCGAUCCAGCUUGGUGCGUCAGUCUCUGCAAACAACAAAAGAUGUGGCCACCCGGCUGGCUGUCCCUGCCCCCAUCGGAACACUAAGGGAGGCAGAGGCCUCUUUGAUUGGAGCCAAGGAGAGCAGCAGACAGGUACAGAUCAGCAGACUGGGGGCAGGGCUCCUGAGAGAGGUCAUGCUUAAUAAACCUGAUUAAUUUCUUGAGCAGCGGCAGUGCAA